rnacentral:rRNA from 1 species
AUUGAACGCUGGCGGCAGGCCUAACACAUGCAAGUCGAGCGGAUGAAGGGAGCUUGCUCCUGGAUUCAGCGGCGGACGGGUGAGUAAUGCCUAGGAAUCUGCCUGGUAGUGGGGGAUAACGUCCGGAAACGGGCGCUAAUACCGCAUACGUCCUGAGGGAGAAAGUGGGGGAUCUUCGGACCUCACGCUAUCAGAUGAGCCUAGGUCGGAUUAGCUAGUUGGUGGGGUAAAGGCCCACCAAGGCGACGAUCCGUAACUGGUCUGAGAGGAUGAUCAGUCACACUGGAACUGAGACACGGUCCAGACUCCUACGGGAGGCAGCAGUGGGGAAUAUUGGACAAUGGGCGAAAGCCUGAUCCAGCCAUGCCGCGUGUGUGAAGAAGGUCUUCGGAUUGUAAAGCACUUUAAGUUGGGAGGAAGGGCAGUAAGUUAAUACCUUGCUGUUUUGACGUUACCGACAGAAUAAGCACCGGCUAACUUCGUG